ACCACUAUAUAGUAUUCAAAGUUUCAAAUCUCUCUCCUCCCCCCUACCCCCUCUUUGUCUUAGCUCUGCUCCCUAACAUUUCACCCAGUUUAUUCAUAGCUCCUUGGUAUCCUUUCCUCCUUUUAUAUAUUUGGCAAGGUAAGAGAAAGGAAGGGGCUCUCUCUCUCUCUCUCGCUGUGUGUGUCUGUUUCUGUAUAUAGAGUUUUGUUAAGGAUUAGAUAGGAGGCAGGCGGCACAUCUUCUUAAUGUGUCUCAUCAUAUUAAUGGAGUUUAUUGUUACAACACCUCCUUCCUCCCUUUAUCGCUCUCCGUGGGUGCAUAGCCCAAAGAAAAGAGUAGUGCUAUGGCUACUCUUUCCAUGGAAGAUUACGUGGAGGUUUUCAUCUCCACCCCUCCCAUCUCUGUGUUUGUGUUUGUUGUGGUGUAAGAGAGUUUGCUGAACCUAGGAGAUCCAUCAAUCACUUUUUCGUUUUCUUUGCAUGGCUCUUCGAUCUCUCAGUUAUAGGAAACUCUCGUUUCACUUUUUCCACUAAAACGAGGAACGGAGAAUACCAGGAAAUGGCGUCUUCUCAGGAGGCAAUGAGCAAACUGAGGGUGGGGAGGACGACCGAGUAUCGAAUGGGCACGGACACGAGGCUGCUGACCAUCGACCAUGGCCCGACGGAGCUUUUCGUGCUUUGCACCGAACGUUUUGAAGCUGCCCCGGCCUUCCGUUCUGGGGACUUCUCCAUGCACAUGAUUAGGGUUAAGGGGAACCCCAUGGCCAUGGUCAUCUGCAUGGUGGGGGAUCAUCAAUGGAUGCUAGCAAAGGACUCCCUUGUGCUCCAUGUCGAGGCUCGGAUGUUUGUGUUCGUCUUGCCGGGCUUCCUUUAUGGGCUUACAUUGCCGACCACUGCUUCUGACCAUGAAUCCAGGAUUGUGGAAGAGAUUUUCAAGAGGUUCUGCGCAUACCGAGACCUCUCGGCAAACGAAGAUUGCGAAUCGGGUGGCGACUCGAACUCCGAGACAGAUCCGUGGGCCCGGGCCUACUCGAAGAUGGAAAAGCUCACCUCCCGGAAGACCGUCAUCGCCGCCGCCAACUCGGCCAAAACCCCACCGGAAACCACCGCCGGCGUUAGCUCCGCGGACCCCAACACGAGGAGGAAGCUCCAGCGGGCGGUGAGGACGUCAGCCGUCGUGAAGCUCCUCUCCCGGGCCCUCCUCGCCGGUGCGCUGGACCCCACCAAGCAUCUCCACCUGGUCGCCGCCACCGCGGCCGGCGGCGCCGCCCUUCCGACGAUGUGGGCCCUGGCGGACCUCCUGGACGCCGUCGAGGCGGGUAAGCAGAGGAUCGAGGCCCUGCCGCUCGGCCAGCGGGGCCCGCAGGGGAGCAGCGGGUGGUGGACGUUGAACCGGGAGGGGGCCAGGCGGCUGCUGGAGGUCGUAUGGGCGUGUGGUGCCACCAGGGGGGUGAAGAGGACACGUGUCGAAGCUGUAGAGGAGGAGGAGGAGGAGGACAGCAACGGGGGGAGCAACGGUAUAACGGGUAGUAACGGUCGGUGCCGUGGCGGGAAAGCAAAAGAGGGAGGCAGUAAGAUGGUUGCGUGAAUUGAGAGUAUGAUAAUUUCAAAGAUGCAUCUCUACCAUUGGAAGUUUUAUGUUUGGGUGGCUCAGAUUACAGUUGGAUUUCCACGAUGCAGGACCUCUAGUCAAAAUGGAGGAGAAAGAACAAAUAGCGGCUGGUUCAUACUGCUGGUGUCCAAACGUAUUACAGCUGCAUUGGCUACAAUGUCGCGAGAGCGGAACUCCAUAUUUCUUAACAGAUCAUUCUCUAUCCACUCCACUCUCAAGAUCCUAAUGAACUAUCGCAGCCGGAAAUGUGUCCCUCCCAACAAGGCUGAUGAGCAUGAGCUUGUGUGGAGCAAGUUGGCAGUCCGUCGCACCUUCUAUGUAAUGUCCUGUUUGUAAUGCUCCCCUUCUCCCAGUCUUCUUGUAAAUUCUGUUCCACUCUGCUGUAAGUGGGCUGGUCUUUACGGUCUCCAUUUCUAUCCAAAAAAAAAAAAGAACAGAAGAAUGCCGUUAAC